rnacentral:rRNA from 1 species
UGCAGUCGAGCGGAAGGCCCUUCGGGGUACUCGAGCGGCGAACGGGUGAGUAACACGUGAGCAACCUGCCCCAGGCUUUGGGAUAACCCCGGGAAACCGGGGCUAAUACCGAAUAUGACCUCUGACCGCAUGGUUGGUGGUGGAAAGUUUUUCGGCUUGGGAUGGGCUCGCGGCCUAUCAGCUUGUUGGUGGGGUGAUGGCCUACCAAGGCGACGACGGGUAGCCGGCCUGAGAGGGCGACCGGCCACACUGGGACUGAGACACGGCCCAGACUCCUACGGGAGGCAGCAGUGGGGAAUAUUGCACAAUGGGCGGAAGCCUGAUGCAGCGACGCCGCGUGAGGGAUGACGGCCUUCGGGUUGUAAACCUCUUUCAGCAGGGACGAAGCGUAAGUGACGGUACCUGCAGAAGAAGCGCCGGCCAACUACGUGCCAGCAGCCGCGGUAAGACGUAGGGCGCGAGCGUUGUCCGGAUUUAUUGGGCGUAAAGAGCUCGUAGGCGGCUUGUCGCGUCGACCGUGAAAACUUGGGGCUCAACCCCAAGCCUGCGGUCGAUACGGGCAGGCUAGAGUUCGGUAGGGGAGACUGGAAUUCCUGGUGUAGCGGUGAAAUGCGCAGAUAUCAGGAGGAACACCGGUGGCGAAGGCGGGUCUCUGGGCCGAUACUGACGCUGAGGAGCGAAAGCGUGGGGAGCGAACAGGAUUAGAUACCCUGGUAGUCCACGCUGU